rnacentral:rRNA from 1 species
UGGGCGCAGCCUGAUCAGCAUGCCGCGUGUGUGAAGAAGGCCUGCGGGUUGUAAAGCACUUUCGGUUGGGAAGAACAGGCUUUGGGCGAAUACCCCGGAGCACUGACGGUACCAACAAAAGAAGCACCGGCUAACUCCGUGCCAGCAGCCGCGGUAAAACGGAGGGUGCAAGCGUUAAUCGGAAUCACUGGGCGUAAAGCGCACGUAGGCGGGCAGUUAAGUCAGAUGUGAAACCCCUGGGCUCAACCUGGGAAUGGC